GAGGGUAUAGCUCAGUGGCAGAGCAUGUGCUUGUUAUGUAUGAGGUCCUGGGUUCAAUCCCCAGCACCUCCA
rnacentral:tRNA from 1 species